CACUGGCUGAAACACAGGAAACAUCCAUAUCUGCUCUCAACUGAUCAAGACUAUUUGGGCACCAUUAAAGUUGAAAAGCACAAUCUUUCAAACAGUACUUGUUCUAAACGGAACCUGAGCAGAGAGAAGACAGUUCAGCACCAUGCUUCUGCCCGUGGGACAGCUAAGGCAUUACACACUCAGAUUCCCCUGCUGAAAGGCAAGCCCCACUUCCUCUUAAUGUGUGGCAAUUUGCCAGAUGUCAUUGACAAGCUGAGACGGUGAUCAAUACAGCCGAGCGGAGUCUCUGUGAUCACUUUAUGAGAGGCAGAGUUAGCUUCUAGCUUCUGCGUCCAUGAUCUUCUCCGUGUUGCUCUCUGCCGUUCCCUGUGCCACUCUGGUUUUGAUGUCCUAUUAAAAGACCCCAGCAUCAGACGAGUCACUCAAACCAAGACUCGUGGGACAGCCAGCCUCCACGACACUGGAUGUGUGCAUCAUUAGAUGCAGUGCCACUUACAUUACCUUCCAUCUCAAACCCAUCGCCUGCCUGCCUACCA